UGGCUCAGAACGAACGCUGGCCGCAGGCUUAACACAUGCAAGUCGAGCGCUCGUAGCAAUACGGGAGCGGCAGACGGGCGAGUAACACGUGGGAACGUACCCUUCGGUUCGGAAUAACCCAGGGAAACUUGGGCUAAUACCGGAUACGUCCGUAAGGAGAAAGAUUUAUUGCCGAGGGAUCGGCCCGCGUCCGAUUAGCUAGUUGGUGAGGUAAUGGCUCACCAAGGCGACGAUCGGUAGCUGGUCUGAGAGGAUGAUCAGCCUCACUGGGACUGAGACACGGCCCAGACUCCUACGGGAGGCAGCAGUGGG
rnacentral:rRNA from 1 species